AAGAAGGACCUCUUCCUCAGCUUCUCCGACAGCCCCGUCCUCCUCCCGGACAAACGCGUGGACGCGGCAAGUGCUUCUCCUCCUCCAUAAACGGACAGUGUAGCAGCUCGCCUCUGUAUCCAUGACUCCUCAGCUGUUAUUCAGAUUUUGUCCACGAGUUUGGAGAAUCAUGAUCAUGAUGAAAUUUGAAUAUUUGAUGUCGGCGUCAAUCUAUUAAGUGAAGGGAUGAUUCUUGCGUAUUAGUAAA